AGAGUUGAUCCUGGCUCAGGACGAACGCUGGCGGCGUGCUUAAGACAUGCAAGUCAAACGGUAAGGCCCCCUUCGGGGGGUACACGAGUGGCGCACGGGUGAGUAACGCGUGGGCAAUCUACCCUCAGGUCUGGGACAACUCCGGGAAACUGGAGCUAAUACCGAAUAAGACCACAGAGUCCUAGGGCCCAGUGGAAAAAGGUGGCCUCUUCUUGAAAGCUAUCGCCUGUCGAUGAGCCCGCGUACCAUUAGCUUGUUGGUGAGGUAACGGCUCACCAAGGCGAUGAUGGUUAGCUGGUCUGAGAGGAUGAUCAGCCACACUGGAACUGAGACACGGUCCAGACUCCUACGGGAGGCAGCAGUCGGGAAUCUUGGGCAAUGGGGGAAACCCUGACCCAGCAACGCCGCGUGAGGGAUGAAGGCCUUCGGGUCGUAAACCUCUGUCGGGAGGGAAGAAUUGGCUGCAGUCGAAUAGGCUGCGGUCUUGACGGUACCUCCAAAGGAAGCGCCGGCUAACUCCGUGCCAGCAGCCGCGGUAAUACGGAGGGCGCAAGCGUUGUUCGGAAUUAUUGGGCGUAAAGCGCGUGUAGGUGGCUUGGUAAGUUGGAUGUGAAAGCCCGGGGCCCAACCCCGGAAUUGCAUUCAAAACUCCCAGGCUAGAGUCCCGGAGAGGAUGGCGGAAUUCCCGGUGUAGAGGUGAAAUUCGUAGAUAUCGGGAGGAACACCAGUGGCGAAAGCGGGCCAUCUGGACGGUGACUGACACUGAGACGCGAAAGCGUGGGGAGCAAACAGGAUUAGAUACCCUGGUAGUCCACGCCGUAAACGUUGUGUGCUAGUGUCGCGGGUAUUGACCCCUGCGGUGCCGA
rnacentral:rRNA from 1 species